UGGUCCCGCUGCCGGAGCCGAGCGGCCGCGGCCCCGGCGGCCUGAGGGAGCGGCCCGGCCCGACAUGCCUGCCGGGCCCUCGGCGCAGGUGUUGUUUGGAUUGUAGCAUAGAGGCACUAUGUACUCAGAGUGGAGAUCCUUGCAUCUUGUCAUUCAAAAUGAUCAGGGGAAUACCAGUGUACUUCACAGCUAUCCUGAGAACGUGGGGAGAGAAGUGGCAAAUGCAGUGGUGCGUCCGCUUGGACAAGCUUUAAUUACAUCAUCUGUUGGAAGUGAGAGUUUACUAAAAACAGACAAAGAAGUAAAAUGGACUAUGGAGGUGGUUUGUUAUGGACUGACUCUCCCUCUGGACGGCGAUACUGUGAAAUACUGUGUGGAUGUAUAUACAGAUUGGAUUAUGGCUCUUGUGUUACCUAAGGACUCCAUUCCUUUACCUGUUAUUAAGGAACCAAACCUUUAUGUUCAAAGCAUUCUCAAACAUCUCCAAAAUCUCUUUGUA